AUUUCCCAUCGUGCUGAGGCGGGUGGCAUGGCGGAGAAGGAUGACACCGGAGUUUGACGAAGAGGUGGUUUUUGAGAAUUCUCCACUUUACCAAUACUUACAGGAUCUGGGACACACAGACUUUGAAAUAUGUUCUUCUUUGUCACCAAAAACAGAAAAAUGCACAACAGAGGGACAACAAAAGCCUCCUACAAGAGUCCUACCAAAAUACCUGGGAUAUAGUAAUCACUCAAUGAAUAUAAACUGCACUUACUGGCAUGCUCAAGGAAUGGGCUAUUAAGCAAGGUAUCCUGUUAAAAGUGGCUGAAACCAUCAAAAGUUGGAUUUUUUUUUCUCAGUGCAAUAAGAAAGAUGACUUACUUCACAAGUUGGAUAUUGGAUUCCGACUCGACUCAUUACAUACCAUCCUGCAACAGGAAGUCCUGUUACAAGAGGAUGUGGAGCUGAUUGAGCUACUUGAUCCCAGUAUCCUGUCUGCAGGGCAAUCUCAACAACAGGAAAAUGGACACCUUCCAACACUUUGCUCCCUGGCAACCCCUAAUAUUUGGUUUUAUCGUAACUAUAUUGUAGAGACACCAAGAAUAGGAUGGGACAUGGAGGGAUCUCUCAAUGCUAUUUGCCUUCAUUAGCUUGCUCGUUAUGCUUCCCACUUGGUGGAUUGUGUCUUCCUGGCUGGUAUGGGGAGUGAUUCUAUUUGUGUAUCUGGUCAUAAGAGCUUUGAGAUUAUGGAGGACAGCCAAACUACAAGUGACCCUAAAAAAAUACAGCGUUCAUUUGGAAGAUAUGGCCACAAACAGCCGAGCUUUUACUAACCUCGUGAGAAAAGCUUUACGUCUCAUUCAAGAAACCGAAGUGAUUUCCAGAGGAUUUACACUUUUGCUUGACAGGGUCAGUGCUGCUUGCCCAUUUAAUAAAGCUGGACAGCAUCCAAGUCAGCAUCUCAUCGGUCUUCGGAAAGCUGUCUACCGAACUCUAAGAGCCAACUUCCAAGCAGCAAGGCUAGCUACCCUAUAUAUGCUGAAAA
rnacentral:lncRNA from 10 species